GAUCAUGGCUCAGGAUGAACGCUAGCGGCAGGCCUAACACAUGCAAGUCAGGGGUAUUAGGAGCUUGCUCCUAAGAGACCGGCGCACGGGUGCGUAACGCGUAUGCAAUCUACCUUGUACAGGGGAAUAGCCCAGAGAAAUUUGGAUUAAUGCCCCAUAGUAUAAUUGAAUCGCAUGGUUUAAUUAUUAAAGUUCCAACGGUACAAGAUGAGCAUGCGUCCCAUUAGUUAGUUGGUAAGGUAACGGCUUACCAAGACAAUGAUGGGUAGGGGUCCUGAGAGGGAGAUCCCCCACACUGGUACUGAGACACGGACCAGACUCCUACGGGAGGCAGCAGUGAGGAAUAUUGGUCAAUGGGCGCAAGCCUGAACCAGCCAUGCCGCGUGCAGGAAGACGGUCCUAUGGAUUGUAAACUGCUUUUAUACAGGAAGAAACAACGCUACGUGUAGCGUCUUGACGGUACUGUAGGAAUAAGGAUCGGCUAACUCCGUG
rnacentral:rRNA from 1 species